AUUGAACGCUGGCGGCAUGCCUUACACAUGCAAGUCGAACGGCAGCACGGGAGCAAUCCUGGUGGCGAGUGGCGAACGGGUGAGUAAAGUAUCGGAACGUGCCCAGUCGUGGGGGAUAACGUAGCGAAAGAUACGCUAAUACUGUCUACGAUCUAUGGAUGAAAGCGGGGGAUCGCAAGACCUCGCGCGAUUGGAGCGGCCGAUAUCAGAUUAGGUAGUUGGUGGGGUAAAGGCUCACCAAGCCGACGAUCUGUAGCUGGUCUGAGAGGACGACCAGCCACACUGGGACUGAGACACGGCCCAGACUCCUACGGGAGGCAGCAGUGGGGAAUUUUGGACAAUGGGCGAAAGCCUGAUCCAGCCAUGCCGCGUGCAGGAUGAAGGCCUUCGGGUUGUAAACCGCUUUUGUACGGAACGAAAAGGUUUGGCCUAAUAAGCUGAGCUCAUGACGGUACCGUAAGAAUAAGCACCGGCUAACUACGUGCCAGCCGCCGCCGUAA
rnacentral:rRNA from 1 species